rnacentral:rRNA from 1 species
GACAGAGGAGCCAAGCGUUGUCCGGAUUGACUGGGCGUAAAGCGCACGCAGGCGGAUGCGCGCGUGGGGUGUGAAAUCUGGCCGCUUAACGGCCAGGCGCCAUCCCAUACGGCGCGUCUGGAGUGAUGCAGAGGUCGAUGGAAUUGCCGGUGUAGUGGUGAAAUGCGUAGAGAUCGGCAGGAACACCCAAGGGGAAGCCAGCUGGCUGGGCAUUUGCUGACGCUCAUGUGCGACAGCGUGGGGAGCGAACUGG